rnacentral:rRNA from 1 species
UUGACCUCAGAUCAGUAGAA